rnacentral:tRNA from 1 species
AUUGUUUUGGCAGAAUAGUGCAAUUGAUUUAGAAUCUUUUCAUAUAACUAAGGUUAUAGACAAUA